CAUGACUCUAGCUUUUGCAAUAGACUAUACUAGUUCUAUGGCAGACGAUAUUGAUGAGGUCAAAAAACAUGUGAUAGAGCAUUUAACAACCACUGUCGGGUCUGACAAUGAACCUGCUGAUUAUGUUCUAUCUUUGUUUCAUGAUCCAGUUAGCUUGAAUUCCGCCCAUAGAUACGUUGAUGGGUAUGUCAUGAUUACGAAAGUUCAAGCAAUUGAAGCGGGACAUGGAGAUAACGGAGACUGUCCGGAAUAUGCAGGUGCAGGAAUAUUAGCAGCAAUAGCACUGAUGAGAGAUAACUCACCUCUGUAUGUAUUCACGGAUGCAGACGCAUAGGAUGCUGAUCGCAUUCAAGACGUCAUUGAUGCAGCCAGAGCAAAGAAUAUAGCAGUGACGCCAUUAAUAACCAGUCAGUGUACUCGCAGAAAAAGAUCAGCAUUAGGUCGAACUGAACGAUCUGCAUCUGAAUUGUCCUUUUUCCAACAAAUAGCAGAAGCAACAGGCGGAAAUGUCCACGAAACAGACAAAGAAAACAUUGGAAAAGUCCUAGAAACUGUAAUAGGGGAAACAUUUCCUUCAACUGCAAUACUAAUAGACUCGUUUGACUGGUCUGUCACUGAAACUAAUGACAAGAAUAUAACCGUUGAUAGUACUAUCACAGUGCUCAAAA